ACGUUGAAAGAGAAAUGAAAUAACCCAGUAAAGCCUAAAAAAGCAAAGAUUUAUACUUGUACCUUUUGCAUCAUGAUUUAGCCAGUAUACCCAAGCAAAGAGAACUUUAGUUUGGCCCCCCGAAACUAAGUGAGCUACUCCAAGACAGCCUAAUAUAGGGCAAACCCGUCUCUGUGGCAAAAGAGUGGGAAGAGCUUCGAGUAGAGGUGAUAAAUCUACCGAACUUAGUGAUAGCUGGUUGUUUGAGAGAUGGAUAGGAGUUCAGCCUCUCGGCUUCUCAGCUCAAUUUUUAUUCACAUUUUAAUUAGACUACUGGAGAAACCAAGAGAGUUAGUCUUAGGGGGUACAGCCCCUUAGACGAAGGACACAACCUUUAUAGAAGGGUAAAGAUCAUAUUUAACUUAAGGUAAAGUUCCCCGGUGGGCUUAAAAGCAGCCAUCCGCCCAGAAAGCGUUAAAGCUCAGGUACACUCAACCUUCCAUCGAUCCCGAUAACACAAUCUCACCCCCCUUUCAAUAUCAAACUAUCCACUGCAAACAGUGGAGAAAUAAUGCUAAUAUGAGUAAUAAGAGAAAAAAGAUUCUCUCCCUGCACAAGUGUACCUCGGAGCGGACUAACCACCGAGCCUUAACGCCCCCAAACAAAGAGGGAAAUAGAUUACAAGUCAAUCAACUAGAAAAACAUCCAAAACAAACUCGUUAACCCCACACUGGUGUGCUCAAUGGGAAAGACUAAAAGGAGAGGAAGGAACUCGGCAAACACCUGAAGCCUCGCCUGUUUACCAAAAACAUCGCCUCUUGCAAGACCAACGAAUAAGAGGUCCCGCCUGCCCUGUGACUAUAUGUUUAACGGCCGCGGUAUUUUGACCGUGCGAAGGUAGCGCAAUCACUUGUCUUUUAAAUGGAGACCUGUAUGAAUGGCUCCACGAGGGCUUAACUGUCUCCCCCUCCCAGUCAAUGAAAUUGAUUUCCCCGUGCAGAAGCGGGGAUAAGAACAUAAGACGAGAAGACCCUAUGGAGCU
rnacentral:rRNA from 1 species